rnacentral:rRNA from 1 species
AUGGCCGGUCGGGUGACUCAGUGCGGGACGACAGCGGGGAGGCAAAUGGCUGGUCCGGCGGCUCAGCAGCUCAGAGUCGGUUCGGUAGUGAGGCCGCAUCGGCGAGGGUGGCGCAAGACGACAGCCAGGCGGAUCUAUCAGCCGCGACGGCUGAGGCCAAGGGCGAGCAGAACAGUGACGAGACCGGUUCGCAGUCGGAGACGGACGGCGCAGACAGCUCAGAACCAGCUUGGCGACUUGACGGCGAGGCGACGGAUCCCUCGUCUGUAUCCAGCAAGGCGGCUCGCAGCAGAGAGGCACCGGCGAAGCGGCGGCAUCGGCCGGCUUGACAGGGGAGACGAUGGGCGGAGCCGUGCGGGAAGGUGCGGGAGGCCAGCGUAG